rnacentral:rRNA from 1 species
CGCAAUGGGCGAAAGCCUGACGCAGCAACGCCGCGUGAAGGAUGAAGGCUCUCGAGUCGUAAACUUCUGUCUGGGGGAAAGAUGAUGACGGUACCCCCAAAGCAAGCCCCGGCUAACUACGUGCCAGCAGCCGCGGUAAUACGUAGGGUGCAAGCGUUGUUCGGAAUCACUGGGCGUAAAGGGAGCGUAGGCGGGAUCGUAAGUUAGGAGUUUAAUACACGGGCUUAACCCGUGGCCGGCUUUUAAUACUGCGGUUCUUGAGUAUGGGAGAGGGCGAUGGAAUUCCAGGUGUAGCGGUGGAAUGCGUAGAUAUCUGGAAGAACACCAGUAGCGAAGGCGGUCGCCUGGCCUAAUACUGACGCUGAUGCUCGAAAGCUAGGGGAGCAAACAGGAUUAGAUACCCUGGUAGUCCUAGCCGUAAACGAUGGACACUAGUUGCCGGAGGAGUCAAUCUUUUUGGUGACGAAGCUAACGCAUUAAGUGUCCCGCCUGGGAAGUACGCUCGCAAGAGUG